GUUAGUAUAGCUCAGUGGUAGAGAGCAUGCUUAGCAUGCAUGAGGUCCUGGGUUCAAUCCCCAGUCCUUCCA
rnacentral:tRNA from 1 species